ACGGAAGGCAGCAGUGAGGAAUCUUGCACAAUGGGGGAAACCCUGAUGCAGCAACGCCGCGUGAACGAUGAAGGCCUUCGGGUUGUAAAGUUCUGAUCUGAGGGAAGAAACAAAUGACAGUACCUCAGGAGAAAGCCCCGGCUAACUACGUGCCAGCAGCCGCGGUAAUACGUAGGGGGCAAGCGUUAUCCGGAAUUAUUGGGCGUAAAGAGUGCGUAGGUGGUUACCUAAGCGCAAGGUUUAAUCUUGAGGCUUAACCUCAUUCUGCCUUGCGAACUGGGCUACUUGAGUGCAGGAGGGGAAAGCGGAAUUCCUAGUGUAGCGGUGAAAUGCGUAGAUAUUAGGAAGAACACCGGUGGCGAAGGCGGCUUUCUGGACUGUAACUGACACUGAGGCACGAAAGCGUGGGGAGCAAACAGGAUUAGAUACCCUGGUA
rnacentral:rRNA from 1 species